rnacentral:rRNA from 1 species
UGCCUAAUACAUGCAAGUCGAGCGAACAGAUGAAGUGCUUGCACUUCUGACGUUAGCGGCGAACGGGUGAGUAACACGUAAGGAAUCUACCUAUAAGCGGGGGAUAACAUUCGGAAACGGGUGCUAAUACCGCAUAAUAUCUUCUUCCGCAUGGAAGAAGAUUGAAAGACGGCUCUGCUGUCACUUAUAGAUGACCUUGCGGUGCAUUAGUUAGUUGGUGGGGUAACGGCCUACCAAGACGAUGAUGCAUAGCCGACCUGAGAGGGUGAUCGGCCACAUUGGGACUGAGACACGGCCCAAACUCCUACGGGAGGCAGCAGUAGGGAAUCUUCCGCAAUGGGCGAAAGCCUGACGGAGCAAUGCCGCGUGAGUGAAGAAGGCCUUCGGGUCGUAAAACUCUGUUAUAAGAGAAGAACAAAUUGUAGAGUAACUGCUACAGUCUUGACGGUAUCUUAUCAGAAAGCCACGGCUAACUACGUGCCAGCAGCCGCGGUAAUACGUAGGUGGCAAGCGUUGUCCGGAUUUAUUGGGCGUAAAGGGAGCGCAGGUGGUUUCUUAGGUCUGAUGUGAAAGCCCACGGCUUAACCGUGGAGGGUCAUUGGAAACUGGGAAACUUGAGUACAGAAGAGGAAUGUGGAACUCCAUGUGUAGCGGUGGAAUGCGUAGAUAUAUGGAAGAACACCAGUGGCGAAGGCGACAUUCUGGUCUGUUACUGACACUGAGGCUCGAAAGCGUGGGGAGCAAACAGGAUUAGAUACCCUGGUAGUCC